CAGUAGCCGCGGUAAUACGGAGGGUGCAAGCGUUAAUCGGAAUUACUGGGCGUAAAGCGUGCGUAGGUGGUUCGUUAAGUCUGUUGCGAAAUCCCCGGGCUCAACCUGGGAACUGCAUUUGUGACUGGCAAGCUAGAGUAUGGCAGAGGGGGGUGGAAUUCCGCGUGUAGCAGUGAAAUGCGUAGAUAUGCGGAGGAACACCGAUGGCGAAGGCAGCCCCCUGGGCCAAUACUGACGCUCAUGCACGAAAGCGUGGGGAGCAAACAGGAUUAGAUACCCGCGUAGUCCCUGUCUCUUAUAC
rnacentral:rRNA from 1 species